rnacentral:rRNA from 1 species
GAGGAUGAUCAGCCACAUUGGGACUGAGACACGGCCCAAACUCUACGGGAGGCAGCAGUGGGGAAUCUUGCACAAUGGAGGAAACUCUGAUGCAGCGAUGCCGCGUGAGUGAAGAAGGCCCUUGGGUUGUAAAGCUCUUUCGUCGGGGAAGAAAAUGACUGUACCCGAAUAAGAAGGUCCGGCUAACUUCGUGCCAGCAGCCGCGGUAAUACGAAGGGACCUAGCGUAGUUCGGAAUUACUGGGCUUAAAGAGUUCGUAGGUGGUUGAAAAAGUUAGUGGUGAAAUCCCAGAGCUUAACUCUGGAACUGCCAUUAAAACUUUUCAGCUAGAGUAUGAUAGAGGAAAGCAGAAUUUCUAGUGUAGAGGUGAAAUUCGUAGAUAUUAGAAAGAAUACCAAUUGCGAAGGCAGCUUUCUGGAUCAUUACUGACACUGAGGAACGAAAGCAUGGGUAGCGAAGAGGAUUAGAUACCCUCGUAGUCCAUGCCGUAAACGAUGUGUGUUAGACGUUGGAAAUUUAUUUUCAGUGUCGCAGGGAAACCGAUAAACACACCGCCUGGGGAGUACGACCGCAAGGUUAAAACUCAAAUGAAUUGACGGGGACCCGCACAAGUAGUGGAGCAUGUGGUUUAAUUCGAAGAUACGCGCAGAACCUUACCAACACUUGACAUGUUCGUCGCGACUCUAAGAGAUUAGAGUUUUCGGUUCGGCCGGACGAAACACAGGUGCUGCAUGGCUGUCGUCAGCUCGUGUCGUGAGAUGUUGGGUUAAGUCCCGCAACGAGCGCAACCCUCACUUUUAGUUGCCAUCAUUAAG